AGCUCAAUGGUUGAGCAUUGGUCUGCACACCAAAAGAUCUUGGGUUCAAUUCCCAG
rnacentral:tRNA from 1 species